rnacentral:rRNA from 1 species
UGACGAGUUUGAUCCUGGCUCAGAGCGAACGCUGGCGGCAUGCUUAACACAUGCAAGUCGCACGGGCACUUUCGGGUGUCAGUGGCGGACGGGUGAGUAACGCGUAGGAACAUGUCCAGGGGUGGGGGAUAACGCUGGGAAACUGGCGCUAAUACCGCAUGUGAGCUGAGGCUCAAAGCAGUGAUGCGCCUUUGGAGUGGCCUGCGUCCGAUUAGCUUGUUGGUGGGGUAAUGGCUUACCAAGGCGACGAUCGGUAGCUGGUCUGAGAGGACGACCAGCCACACUGGGACUGAGACACGGGCCAGACUCCGUACGGGAGGCAGCAGUGGGGAAUUUGGACAAUGGGCGCAAGCCUGAUCCAGCAAUGCCGCGUGAGUGAUGAA